CCAAACUGGAAACAGUGCCAGCAUUUAGCAAGAGGAGAAUGGAUACGCAAAUCAGGGCCCACGCACGGGGUGGGGACAACCCGGGGGAAAGGGAAAGGGUACUGUGAUGGGCACAAACACUGUGCAAGUCUCAAAGCUCAGAUGGAGUGGAACAGUCAGAUUCUAUCGCACAGGACACACCGAGGGACUCCACUUUAUACGACGCUCGAGAAAGAAAAAACCAAUCGCCAAGCUAGAAAUCAGACUGUUCAAGUGAUUCUCCUGCCUCAGCCUCCCAAGUAGCUGGGAUUACAGGAUGGAUCCUGGUGCAUCAUAGGCGGCCCUGGAGAAAGUGGAGCCGGGGUCCUCCUGGAGGGAGGCGUGUGAGUGUCAGGGUGGUCUGCAUCCAGGCAGGGGCGGCCUACAGAUGGGAUGGGGAGCAAAAUCAUGACUCCAGCCCCACGGGAGUCUGAGGAAGGAACACAUAGGUGACUGGGAGGGGCCAAGCUCCAUCCACCUUGCAUGAUUGUCAGCCUCCUCCCCAGGCUGUCCCAGGAAUUGUUCCAGGGGCCAUGGCAGCCCGGAGGGAACAAGGCAUAGCGUGGGCAACAUGCCCCUCUGUCCGCCAGAAGCAGCCAGGGCCAUGGGGGCCUGGGACAGUGGGUCGUACUGGCUCCUCCGUCCUGGAGAGGCUGGAGUCACCCUUGCUCUGGACAUGGACUCGCAUUCCCUGCCUAACUGCCCUGCUGUGGGCUUCUGGCAGCUCCUUUCGUGACGGCAGAAUCGCCCACACAGCAAUUCUGACCCCCGGGGUCGGGGGGAGGAUCCAGAAUCAGGUGGGCUUGCCGGCUUUCCCGGAGGCCCAGCGUGCAGCCAGCUGGGGAAAUCACAGGGUGCUGAGAGGUGAAACUUGACGCAAAUGAACCGCUCAGGGCCAGAGCUAUCCCAGCCAGGGGGCCCGGCCUCGCUGCUUUCAGAAGUUUUAGCCAAGGGAGUGAGGACUCUACCAGGAGACAUGUUGGGUCCCCACAGUUGAAAGCUGAGGGUGACUGUGAGCGUUUCGGGAAGUGCGUGCUGCUGGGGGAAGGUCCCUGCGGACGUUACUGUGGUUCCUGGGUGACCAACCCUCACUAUCAAGAUGCUGCCCUCUUGCCUACAUUCUAGGGGGAGCCCCCUAACCAGAUCCCUCAGUGGGGAUGGUGUGGGUCACCUCCCUCCUCAAUAAACCCUUAUCUGCAAAGCCUUGAGAGGGUGCAGACGCUGCCCCCCUUGUGAGGGCCCAGCUGCAGGAGCAUAGCUCAGAAUACUGUUCCCGCCCCAGGGCCCAUGUGCAGCACGCAGGUGUGAUAUGGUUUGGACCUGUGUCCUCUCCGCCCAAAUCUCACCUUGAAGUGUAAUCCCCAACGUGGGAAGUGGGGCCUGGUGGGAAGGGAUUGGAUCAUGGUGGUGGUCCUUCACGAGUGGGUCAGCACCAGCUUCUUGGUGCUGUUCUCAUGACAGUGAGUUAUCGUUAGAGCUGGUUGUUUCAGAGUGUGCAGCACCCCCUUUUUCUCUCCCUCCUGCUCCCACCAUGUGAGACGCCUCGUCCCCCUUCACCUUCCACCAUGACUAUGUUUCCUGAGGCCUCCCUGGAAGUGGAAGCUGCUAUGCUUCCUGUACAGCCUUCAGAACCGUGAGCCAGUUAAACCUCUUUUCUUCAGGAAGUGCCCAGUCUCAGCCCCCAGAGACCUGGAUACAUUGCACAGGUGCUGACAGCAGGUGGCAGUGUGGAGCAGCGGUGUGACACCUGCAGGGCCCUCUGGGGACACCACACAAGGGCAGCCACAGCGUCCCGGAGCCCAUGCAGUGUGAUGGCCGCAGGUACCUCUCCAGCCAGCACUCCACCCGUGGAAUUACAGCCGACCGAAGCAUCUCUGCUACAUUCGUCAGCUUGAUAAAUGUCCGAGGAAUGAACCAAGAACAGGGACCAUCUCUUCCAGUAGCUUCUCACCAUCCAACACACUUUGCAGGGCCGAGGGCUCUUCCUGGCCCAUAUCUAGCACCUAGAUAUUUUAUUCACUUAUGUUUUGAAUAUUUCAUGGGUCCUUCUCCCCCAGAGGCCUCAGAGCACUCCCAGAAUUGGAAUGGAAAUACACAGUGUGUCCUUGUCAGCUGUCCGGGCCGCCGCGUUCAAAGGGCAGGACAUAGUAGCUUCUGCUCAAAUUAGAAUGACCUGUCUCAUCAAGCAGAAGAUGGUUGUUGAGACUUUGUGUUUUUAAAGUAUUGCCUAAAAAAGCAAGAUUAAAUGAACGUAUGAACGCUUGUGCAGUAUGGCAGGAAAAUCCCGGGGGUCUGCCUGGACUGCUUGCCCUAACCCUCUCUAAGCGUGGGUUCUGCUGCAACAUCGAGGAGAGAGCAGGGGGUGCUCAUCUCCAGGCCAUCAGCAAAGAUGUCAGACUGUGCUUGUCCCCCAGGCCUGGCCAGCAACAGCAGGGUCUCCCCCAAGUGGGGCUUCCCAGCCACACUGCUGCAUGUGGCUUUGGGAGGGCCUGUGGGAGCCUGCUGGUCCCCAUGGGCCUGGCAAGCAUCUGCCCUGGUAGACUGAAGUGCCCCCCAGCCCUGUGGCUAGAGGAAGCCUGCUGGCCCCUGGAGAUCUGGGAGAGGAGAGCUGGACAGCUCACCCACCACGGCCAGCAUGAAAGGCAGCUAGUAAGUCCCCCUGCGCUGUCAGCCUCUGCUAAGAAGUCUCUGGAGUGGUGUCCAGGUGCUGAGGGGGUGCACAGAUGCUGCAUUGAUGCUCAGCCAGGAGCAACUGGAGCAGAAAGCAGCAGUCAUGGGAAGAUGCCUCAGAUCACACACAUGCACAUGUGCACACACACGCACACAUGCACACACACAUGCAGAUACACACAUGCACACAUGCAGACAGAUGGACACAUGCACAAAUGCACACGCGCAGACACAUGUAUAUGUGCGCACAUACAUGCAAAGACACACACACCAUGCACAUGCACAGAUGCACACAGGAGCAACCGAAACUUACAAUAAAGCGCGAACAAGUCUAAGGUUCCAUAGACAUAGCUCUGUUCUAGCAGAUGCUGACCAACUCUCCCAUUAAAAACAACAACACAAGCUAGAAAAAACUAUCUUAAAAUGUCUGUUCGAAAUCAAUGGAGAACUCCUAAAGCAGUGAGAAUUUUGGGGGCCAAGGUCUGAAAGACGGGGAAAGUAAGGAUGAUGGGCUGAUACUUGGGGCAGCAUGGAUCCAGGCUGACCAAUAACUGGGGAAGCAAAAGCUGAGCUGAGCCAUGGGAGCUGGACUCAGCUCUCAGCACUCACAGGGCCAAAGGAAAAAAAAGAGGGGCCCUGAGAAGCCCCUCAGCUGUUGGUGGGAACCCUGAAGGGGAAUCAGCCUGACCCGACCCUCCCAGAGUCUGCAAUUGGGUCACAAGGGCCUCCCUUCCUGGGUGACGACAGGAGCGAGUGCCACUCGGCUCCCUGGAGAUGGCACCACUGGUGGCCUGAGA